rnacentral:misc_RNA from 1 species
GAUGAAGAACGUAGCGAAAUGCGAUAAGUAAUGCGAAUUGCAGAAUUUCCGUGAGUCAUCGAAUCUUUGAACGCACAUUGCGCCCACUGGUAUUCCGGUGGGCAUGCCUGUUCGAGCGUCAUUAUCCUCCCUCAAAACUCCUGUUUUGGUGUUGGGCCGCGUUGGUCACCUCCGACCAACGGGCCUCAAAGACAAUGACGGCGUCCGUGGGACCCUCUUCGCAGUGAGCUUUUGUUAGCGCGCGUUGAGUUUAAAGGAACCUCCGGGCCGGCCACCUUUAUCUAUUUUACAUGGUUGACCUCGGAUCAGGUAGGAAUACCCGCUGAACUUAAGCAUAUCAAUAAGCGGAGGA